UUUCCCUCAGGAUAGCUGGCACUCGCUUGAGCGAGUCUCAUCUGGUAAAGCGAAUGAUUAGAGGCCUUGGGGCCGAAACGACCUCAACCUAUUCUCAAACUUUAAAUGGGUGAGAUCUCUGGCUUGCUUGAACGUUGAAGCCACGAGAUAGAUUAUAAAUGCAAUGGAUCAGAGUGCCAAGUGGGCCAAUUUUGGUAAGCAGAACUGGCGCUGUGGGA
rnacentral:rRNA from 1 species